rnacentral:rRNA from 1 species
AGAGAGAGACAUGCGCGCAUAUCAAUAAGCGGAGGAAAAGAAACUAACAAGGAUUCCCUUAGUAACGGCGAGUGAAGCGGGAAGAGCUCAAAUUUGAAAUCUUCAAGGUUCUACCUUGACGAAUUGUAGUUUAUAGAAGUGUUUUCUGUCAGUGGAGUGGCAAAAGUUCUUUGGAAUAGGACAUCAUAGAGGGUGAGAAUCCCGUAUUUGGUCAUUCCUCCUAGCGUUGUGAUACACUUUCAACGAGUCGGAUUGUUUGGGAAUGCAGUCCAAAAUGGAUGGUAAAUUUCAUCUAAAGCUAAAUAUUGGCGAGAGACCGAUAGCGAACAAGUACCGUGAGGGAAAGAUGAAAAGAACUUUGAAAAGAGAGUUAAACAGUACGUGAAAUUGUCAAAAGGGAAGCGUUUGACACCAGUGUUGUUUUUCCGAAAAUCAAUUACGAAUGUUUUAGUUUUUGAGGAGUUAUGACUUCAUCGGCUUGCUCCUUUCUUUAUGAAACUUUCUUAAUGCACUUUUCGGUUAACAAGUCAACAUCAAUUUCUUUUGUUGUAAUAGGGUAUGAGGAAGGUGGCUUUCUUUUCGGAGAAAGUGUUUAUAGCCUUGUGCCUCUGCAAUCGGAGAGAUUGAGGUCUGCAGCGUAGAUCCUUCGGGGUUAGGAUACGUUUGUGCUAAGUUAUAGCUUUUCAUAGACAACUUGUUGACUAUGUUUAGUCUUGUAGCUUACUCGCUUACUGCUAUUUUACCUACGCUUAGGAUGUUGAUAGUCACAGCGUGUAC